rnacentral:rRNA from 1 species
AGUGAACGCUGGCGGCGUGCCUAAUACAUGCAAGUCGAACGCGAAAGUCCUUCGGGAUGAGUAAAGUGGCGCACGGGUGAGUAAUACAUGGGAACAUGCCCUUGGAUGGGGAAUAACGUUUGGAAACGAACGCUAAUACCGCAUAAUCCCGCGAGAGUAAAGGUGGCGCCGCAAGGGCUACCGUCCAAGGAUUGGCCCAUGUCCCAUUAGCUAGUUGGCGGGGUAAUGGCCCACCAAGGCAACGAUGGGUAUGUGGUCUGAGAGGAUGAUCACACACACUGGAACUGAGACACGGUCCAGACUCCUACGGGAGGCAGCAGUAGGGAAUAUUGCACAAUGGGGGAAACCCUGAUGCAGCAACGCCGCGUGAGUGAAGAAGGCCCUUGGUUGUAAAGCUCUUUAACGUGGGAAGAAGGUAGAUACGGUGAAUAAUCGUGUUUGCUGACGGUACCACGAGAAUAAGCACCGGCUAAUUUCGUGCCAGCCGCCGCAGUAA